NNNNNNNNNNNNNNNNNNNNNNNNNNNNNNNNNNNNNNNNUGUACUUCACACAGACAGGUACCAGCAAGACAUGCUCAUACAUGAAAUAAAAAUUAAGUAUAAAAUAUGGAGUCUUCUACAUGGAUGCUGCAGCCUUGAGACACACAGCAUUCGGGACAAGAAUGCAGUGACUUAUGGGGACGUGCAUGUGAACUUCACUCAAGAGGAGUGGGCUCUGCUGGAUCCUUCUCAGAAGAAGCUCUACAAAGAUGUCAUGCUGGAGACCUACAGGAACCUCAAUGCUAUAGGAUUUAAUUGGGAUGACAAAAAUACUGAAGAACAUUGUCCAAGUACCAGGAGAUGGAGAAGGUAUCCUUGAAGAUGAAAGCCAACCCAUAAUGAAGGGGUAACUGCAGGAAUGUAAGCAAAGUGAUAAAAAUCUUAAGAUCUGAUUCCUCUUUAUAUUUAGACAAUAGUACCAUUAAUUCAUACAAAUGAAAGUAUUUGUCAGUGUGAUAAAGCUUUCAAAUGUGCCAAUUCUCUUCUCGGGCAUGAAAGAAUUCAGAGUGCAGAGAAACCCUCUGAAUAUACUCAACAUGGUAAAGCCUUUGCUUUACAUGCUCACAGUCAUGCUCAAAGGCAUGAAAGGAUUCAUACAGAAAAGAAACCCCAUGGAGUGAUUCAAUUUGUUGAAGCCUUUGCUCAACAUAGUCUCCAACUUAGUAAAAGAGCCCAAACUGGAAAGAAACUCUAUGAAUGGAAGCAAUGUGGUAAAGCCUUUGCAGAUCACAGUCAUCUUAAAAGCCAUGAAGGAAUGCAUACCGGAGAGAAACCUUAUGAAUGUCAUCAGUGGGAAAAAGCCUUUUCAAGUCACAGUAAUCUCCUACAACCUAAAGGAACACAUACUGGAGAGAAAUGCUAUGAAUGUGAUCUGUGUGGUAAAGCCUUUUCACAACACUAUACUGUCCAAAAGCAUAAAAGAACACAUAUAGGACAGAAACCCUACAAAUGUAAUGAAUGUGAUAAAGCCUUUUCACAAAAUCGUGAUCUCCAAACGCAUAAAAGAAGACAUACUGGAGAGAAACCAUACAACUGUAAUAAAUGUGAGAAAGCCUUUUCACAACAUAAUGCCCUCCAGUAUCAUAGAAGAAUUCAUAGUGGAGAGAAACCCUACAAAUGUAAUAAAUGUGAGAAAGCCUUUUCACAACAUAAUGCCCUCAAGUAUCAUAGAAGAAUUCAUAGUGGAGAGAAACCCUACAAAUGUAAUGAAUGUGAUAAAGUAUUUAGACAAAGCAGUGAUCUCCAAAAGCAUAGAAGGACACACACAGGAGAAAAACCCUACAAAUGUAAUCAGUGUGAGAAAGUCUUCUCCCAACAUCAUCAUCUCCAAAUCCAUAAAAGAUCACAUACUGGAGAGAAACCCUUCAAAUGUAAUGAAUGUGAUAAAGCCUUUUCACAACUUGGUAACCUCCAGUCACAUAGACGAAUUCAUACUGGAGAGAAACCCUACAAAUGUAAUACAUGUGAGAAAGCCUUUUCACAACAUAGUCAUCUCCAGUCACAUAGAAGAAUUCAUACUGGAGAGAAACCCUACAGAUGUAAUAAAUGUGAGAAAGCCUUUUCACAACAUAGUAACCUCCAGUCGCAUAGAAGAAUUCAUAAUGGAGAGAAAUCCUUUAAAUGUAAUAAAUGUGAGAAAGCCUUUUUACAACACUAUAGCCUCCAAAGACAUAAAAGAAUACAUACUGGAUAGAAACACAAUGAAUGUGAUCUAUGUGUGAAAGCCUGUGUAUGUCACAGGCAUCUUCAAAAGCAUAAAAGAAUUCAUACUGUAGAGAAAGCUUAUGAAUGUAUACAAUAUGUAAAAUCUACAAAUAUCUAGUCUUAAUCAUCAUGAACAUAUUGUAUUGGCAAGAAACCCUCUGAAUAUUAUCUGUGUGGUAAAACGUAUCCCAACACACUUAUCUCCCAAUACAUCAAGGAGCACAUACUGGGGAGACAGAGGUGGGGGGUUGGGGAGGAGGACUUAUGAAUGGACACAAUGUGGUAAAAUUCCAUGCUGCAGGGAAGCCCUACAAAUGUAGUCAUUCAAGUAAAACUUUGCACUUCACAGUAUCUUUCUGUAAGAGGAAAGCCUUUAGCUUAUACUAAGUCUGUUAACGUUUGCAUGUCACAGUAAUUUUUCAACCUCUAAGAACUCAUAAGUAAGGCAGUCUAUGACUCUGAUGGACUUGGAACAAUCUUUAGCCAAUCCACUUACAUUAAGUUACACAAAAUUAUUUAUUCCUGAGAAAAACACUAGCAAGUGUCAACUAUCUGCUCAAAUAUGAUGAUAUCUUUAUUUUUUUUAACUUGUAAAUUCAUAGGUUCAAAAGACCUUUCAAUUUCAUUGAGAAGGUAACUGGUUUAAAUUUCACAGUUCAUUUUAAGUCCAUUAAAUAACUCAUUCAUGUGU
ensembl:lincRNA